UUGAUUGGUCGGAAGACCUUAUCAGAUUCUACCACCUCUGUGAACCGUUUCGCCCUCGGCUGAUCUUUACAAUACAAACAUUAGUGUAAUGAACGUCUAGAGUUAUCUUAACUAAAC
rnacentral:misc_RNA from 1 species